rnacentral:rRNA from 1 species
UGGGGAAUAUUGGACAAUGGGCGAAAGCCUGAUCCAGCCAUGCCGCGUGUGUGAAGAAGGUCUUCGGAUUGUAAAGCACUUUAAGUUGGGAGGAAGGGCAUUAACCUAAUACGUUAGUGUUUUGACGUUACCGACAGAAUAAGCACCGGCUAACUUCGUGCCAGCAGCCGCGGUAAUACGAAGGGUGCAAGCGUUAAUCGGAAUUACUGGGCGUAAAGCGCGCGUAGGUGGUUCGUUAAGUUGGAUGUGAAAGCCCCGGGCUCAACCUGGGAAACUGCAUCCAAAAACUGGCGAGCUAGAGUACGGUAGAGGGUGGUGGAAUUUCCUGUGUAGCGGUGAAAUGCGUAGAUAUAGGAAGGAACACCAGUGGCGAAGGCGACCACCUGGACUGAUACUGACACUGAGGUGCGAAAAGCGUGGGGAGCAAAACAGGAUUAGAUACCCUGGUAGUCCACGCCGUAAAACGAUGUCAACUAGCCGUUGGGUUCCUUGAGAACUUAGUGGCGCAGCUAACGCAUUAAGUUGACCGCCUGGGGAGUACGGCCGCAAGGUUAAAACUCAAAUGAAUUGACGGGGUCAUAGCUGUUUCCUG